AUGCCAAAGGAGAGCUGCCCU
rnacentral:miRNA from 1 species